rnacentral:lncRNA from 1 species
UAAAGUCCCUAGAGUCUCUAUCCCAUUUAUGAGUGUGUUACUCAGUGGAUUUUCAAUUGUUUCUGUUUUCUUUCUUUCUUCGUGGACACAUCCCCCCACAGAGUAUUACCGUUUGCAUACAUACAUUCGCAUCAUGAGGUCUCUUAGGGACCAAAAUUCAUCUCUUUGUUAUUAUUUAAGCCCAUUCUACCUCGUCGAGACGAAGAUUUUAACCUUCACUUCUCCGGCUAGAAUGACC